AUUCUAUAAAUACACACUUAGACAUAUAAGCUUAUAGAAACCAAAAACCAUACUCAAGACUCAUUAUGACUAGCUCUAUGAAGAAAAUGAUUCUUAUCAUUUUCAUCACAACCAUGGUUUUAUCUCCGACAAGUUUUAUCUCUUGUCUCGCAGGUAAGUAAACUGCUUAGUUAACUGAUUUAAUUUGAGAAUUUACCUAUCAAUUUAGAGUUUUUUUUAUGUAUCUCUAUUCGCAUAUGAAGAUGUUCAUGCUACUGAAAGUCCCACCGAACCAGCAGGCAAGAACAUUGACAAACCUCAUCACUAAAUAAUCAGAACAUUAAUGAGAGCAUUUUCAAUAUUAAUUUAUCUUAUUUGUAAACAUUUUUUAAUGAUUAUUUUGUAGCCUCUCACGUUACUGGAGGUGAUAAAGUAGCAUGUCCUGCUUGCCGCUGCUGUGAAGGCCCAAAACCUCCACCGGGAACUUGUUGCCGUUGUUGUUAAAUGUUAAUUAAGCUCAAAAAUCAACUUCCUCGUAAACUUUAGUUAAGCCUCUUAAUUACUAUUAGGGUUCAAUAUCUACUUAUGUUGUUGUAGUGUUGUGUAUUCGUACUUGUCUUGACCAAAUAAAAGUGUAGCUAGCCGCUUAAAUCCAUCCGUUGUUAGGAUGGUGCUUUGGCCAAAGUGAUUCGAAUAUACCUUUUAUACACAAAUACAUGUUUA